rnacentral:tRNA from 1 species
GUUUAAAUAGUUUAAAAAAAAUGUUGAUUUGUGAUUUCAACGAUGUAUUUAUACUUUAAACAAUUUU